rnacentral:rRNA from 1 species
AGAUUGAACGCUAGCGGGAUGCUUUACACAUGCAAGUCGAACGGCAGCGCGGACUUCGGUCUGGCGGCGAGUGGCGAACGGGUGAGUAAUAUAUCGGAACGUGCCCAGUAGCGGGGGAUAACUACGCGAAAGCGUGGCUAAUACCGCAUACGCCCUACGGGGGAAAGGGGGGGAUCGCAAGACCUCUCACUAUUGGAGCGGCCGAUAUCAGAUUAGCUAGUUGGUGAGGUAAAGGCUCACCAAGGCGACGAUCUGUAGCUGGUUUGAGAGGACGACCAGCCACACUGGGACUGAGACACGGCCCAGACUACCGUACGGGAGGCAGCGAGU